rnacentral:sRNA from 1 species
UCAUCUGAGAUCACCCGUGAAGUCACCCACAGGGCCCUGGCAGAGCCCCUGAAAACAACCAUGAAUCUCUCCCAAGUGCUCUGAGUUGUCCCCACCCUGAAGAUCACCACUGAAACCUCUGGGACCCAUGUACGUGUGCAAGACAGAGUGAAUGUCACCUGCCACGUCCUCCACUUCUAUCCCGCCCACCUGCAACUCACCUGGAUGGAGAACAGGCGCAUGAUCCAGACCCUGGUGUCCCCUCAGGCCACCAGAAAUCCAGAUGGGACAUACUCUCUGGAGCACACGUGGCAGGCAGAGGCCACGCUGCAGGAGCGUGAGUUUGCUUGCUGGGUUCACGAUGAGCAGCCCCCACUCAAGGCCAACGUCACCCUGCAAGCCCAGGUGCGCAGGCAGGGGAAAG